UGACAUUUGUACAAACAACUCUAGUCGAGGACAAUAACAAACCGAACUGAAACUGCGGAAAGAGUGUUUUUACUUAGUUUUAGGAUAAAUUUACAUUCUGUUUGUACAUUUCAAUAAAACAACGAUGCGGAAACUUUCAUCUACUAGUUGGCGAGGAAAAACAACUACCCUGUAUUGAGGAGCACACGAAACGUCGGUCCAGGAUAUCCAUAAACGUCUGAAUGCUGUUCUAGAUUAUCAAACCCAUCACCGGUUACGUCUACGAGAAGCAGAGGGUAAGAAGCGUGCGGAAGACGUGGUGGCCGCUAACAGAGACGGCACCUGUCUUAUCAAUAGCCAUCAGGCAGGAACUGGCCUAGGUAACAGGAUAGACGUUCAGGUCAUCGUCAUUCCAUCGAUGAAAAUGUUUUUCUUUUAGUAGCUUUAAGAGAGUUUGAUUCCCAAAGAGUUCUUUCGUCUCUUCGAUAAUUAAGUUAGAUAAACGUUCCAAUAACUGCUAGGAAAACAAUUGUUAACAUUUUAUCAUACUUCUUCUUCUUCUUGGCUUAACGACCUUACAGGUCACGCCGGCGAUUUCUGGCUUAUUAGACUUAUUUUACCACGUAGCCGGAUAGUCAGUCCUUGCUCCGGGGGACGGUCCGGAUGGGAUUUGAACCCAGUCCGGCCGUAUGGACUGGCGCCGUUUAUCACAUGCACCACCGGGCCGCCCCACUAUACUAUUAGAUUGUAUAGAGAGAUUUUUAUUUAAAAGGAGACAGACGCAGACGCAGGUUUUGGGGAAAUUUGGGGAAAUUUA